CAGCCGCCGCGGGAAUACAGAGGGUGCAAGCGUUAAUCGGAAUUACUGGGCGUAAAGCGUGCGCAGACGGUUACAUAAGUCGGGUGUGAAAGCCCCGGGCUCAACCUGGGAAUUGCAUUCGAGACUGUGUAGCUAGGGUACGGAAGAGGGAAGCGGAAUUUCAGGUGUAGCGGUGAAAUGCGUAGAUAUCUGAAGGAACACCAGUGGCGAAAGCGGCUUCCUGGUCCAGUACCGACGUUCAGGCACGAAAGCGUGGGGAGCAAACAGGAUUAGAUACCCCUGUAGUCCCUGUCUCUUAUAC
rnacentral:rRNA from 1 species